GAGGAUUUAGCUUAAUGAAAGUGUUUGGUUUGCGUCCAGUUGAUGUAAAUGUGAUGUUUACAAUCCUUA
ensembl:Mt_tRNA